AAUAUAACGACAGAGGUAAAAUAUAUCUUGCUAUAUAAAUAUCCUUAAAACGGCAGGGGUAUCUCCAGCCACGUAGUUUUUUUUAUUAUUAUUUUUAUGAAAUGUCCAAAUAGAUCCUCAUCUGUCGGCUUAGGUAGGCUAGAUCUAGCUACAUAGUUACGGCAUCUAAUUAACCGCAAGGUGUGACAUAUUCACCCUAUCGUAUAGAAACAACAGAAAUACCAGUGACUCGGAGAAGGAUUUUUAUAGAAGCCGGUGUAUUCGGGGGGGUGGGGGGGGGGACCGGUGCAGCUGUAAAAAAGGGAGGUCGGCGGCUCCAGGGGGACGAAACAAGGUCCCGGGAUGGGGGGCUCACCAGCCCCCGUCCCCCAUUCUUCGGAGCCGCCGGAGGAAAAGAGACCGAGGGUCUCGGGGGCCGCCGAACCGGACUGCCGGCCCGCGAGCGACCGGGGUGGCUCUUGUUUGUUUUUAUUUCUAGAGAAAGAGAUCGCGCCCCGGAGGCGAAAGGCGUUGGAGAAUUAGCGCUGCACGAAGCCCGAGCCCCGUCUCUCUCUCCGCAGGAUCAGAAAGGAAGGAGUGCGCGACCCAGACGCCGUAGCGAUACAUCGGUGAUAUUGCUAAUAGAAUAUCCUUAUUGAAACAAGUCAAUACAUCACCCACAAUCCACACACACAAUUCCUCUCCCUCUCUCCUUCCUGAUCUCCACCCGCUUUAAACUCCUGCCAGCGAAAUGAACUUGAAACGGCAUCUUCGUGAGCGCUUAGAAAAUACAGCGAGUUCCUGAACUCCGACCUUCGUGGGAAGGAAAGAACCCGGGCCCUGAAAACAAAUAAAUUCAACAUGUUUUACUUAUCUAAUCUUCCUUUUUCUCAUAAACAUAUAUUAUAUCUAUAUGUAUAUCAUAUACAUUAAGGUGGGGGGGGGGGAGAUAGAGAAGGAAAGGGAGAGAGAAAAGGAGGAGAGAGGGUGGUGGGAUGAGAGAGGAAGAGGGAGAGUGCGAGCUAGUUGCGAAUGAUCCUAACGGGGAAGGGGGCUGGGGACAAGAGUCAGGGGACGAAGACAUCAGUGAGGGAAGAGGCGAAGAGCGCCCAGGAAAGGCAGGUAGGCUGCUUUGGCUUCCUUUUCCGCUUUCUUUCCUCAAAUGGAAAGAUUGCAGGGUGUCCGCAGGCGUC
rnacentral:lncRNA from 1 species